rnacentral:rRNA from 1 species
UCAAGUGACUAAGUGCAUGUGGCGGAUGCCUUGGCGAUCACAGGCGAAGAAAGACGCGGCAGCCUGCGAAAAGCUGCGGGGAGCUGGCAAACGAGCUUUGAUCCGCAGAUAUCUGAAUGGGGGAACCCACACCGCAAGGUGUAUCCGUGACUGAAUACAUAGGUUACGGAGGCGAACGAGGAGAACUGAAACAUCUAAGUAUCCUCAGGAAAAGAAAUCAACCGAGAUUCCGGCAGUAGCGGCGAGCGAACCCGGAGGAGCCUAGCUUUUGAUAGUACGAACUUUAGCCGAAAGGUCCUGGAAAGGCCUGCUAUAGUGGGUGAUAGCCCCGUAGGCGAAAGAGUUCGUAUGGUACUAAGGAAGCGAGAAGUAGAGCGGGACACGUGGAAUCCUGUUCGAAGAUGGGGGGACCAUCCUCCAAGGCUAAAUACUCGUGAUCGACCGAUAGUGAACCAGUACCGUGAGGGAAAGGCGAAAAGAACCCCGGGAGGGGAGUGAAAUAGAACCUGAAACCGCAUGCAUACAAACAGUAGGAGCCUCACCAGAGGUGACUGCGUACCUUUUGCAUAAUGGGUCAGCGACUUACAUUCUGUGGCGAGCUUAACCGAAUAGGGGAGGCGCAGCGAAAGCGAGUUCGAAAUGAGCGUCCAGUCGCAGGGUGUAGACCCGAAACCAGAUGAGCUAUCCAUGGCCAGGUUGAAGGUGUGGUAACACACACUGGAGGACCGAACCGACUAGUGUUGCAAAAUUAGCGGAUGAGCUGUGGAUAGGGGUGAAAGGCCAAACAAAUCUGGAGAUAGCUGGUUCUCCCCGAAAACUAUUGAGGUAGUGCCUCGUGUGUCGCUCCAGGGGGUAGAGCACUGUUUUGGCUAGGGGGACAUGGAGUCUUACCAAACCAAGGCAAACUCCGAAUACCUGGAAGCGUAAGCACGGGAGACAGAGCACCGGGUGCUAACGUCCGGACUCAAAAGGGAAACAACCCAGACCGCCGGCUAAGGUCCCCAAUAACAGCUAAGUGGAAAACGAAGUGGAAAGGCCGUGACAACCAGGAAGUUGGCUUAGAAGCAGCCAUCCUUCAAAGAAAGCGUAAUAGCUCACUGGUCGAGUCCUUCUGCGCGGAAGAUGUAACGGGGCUAAGCUGUUAACCGAAGCCGCGGAUGCACUGAUUAUUCAGUGCGUGGUAGGGGAGCGUUCUGUAAGUCUGCGAAGGCGGUUCGAGAGGACUGCUGGAGAUAUCAGAAGUGCGAAUGCUGACAUGAGUAACGUUAAAGCAGGUGAAAAGCCUGCUCGCCGUAAGCCCAAGGAUUCCUGCUCUACGUUCAUCGGAGCAGGGUGAGUCGGCUCCUAAGGUCAGGCCGAAAGGCGUAGCCGAUGGGAAUCAGGUUAAUAUUCCUGAACCUGCGUCAGAUGCGAUGGGGGGACGGAGCAUGAAAGAUCAUCCGGGUGUUGGAUGUCCCGGUUGACGAGCGUAGGAGGUCUGCAGGCAAAUCCGCAGACGCAUCUCCAAGGCGAAGUCACGUGCCGCCACGGCGGCGAAGUGAUCGGAAGUGCUUCCAAGAAAAGCCUCUAAGCACCAGUCUGACGCGGACCGUACCGCAAACCGACACUGGUGGGCGAGCUGAAUAUGCUCAGGCGCUUGAGAGAACUCGGGAGAAGGAACUCGGCAAAUUGACACCGUAACUUCGGAAGAAGGUGUGCCGUAGUACCGUGAGAGGAGAGACACCUUGAGCGGGAAUCGGUCUCAGAGAAUAGGUGGCUGCGACUGUUUAUUAAAAACACAGCACUCUGCAAAGUCGAAAGACGACGUAUAGGGUGUGAUGCCUGCCCGGUGCUGGAAGAUUAAUUGAUGGGGUGAGAGCCCUUGAUCGAAGUCCCAGUAAACGGCGGCCGUAACUAUAACGGUCCUAAGGUAGCGAAAUUCCUUGUC